ensembl:lncRNA
GCAAGAAUACUGGAGUGGGUUGUCAUUUUCUUCUCCAGGUGAUCUUCCCCACCCAGGGAUCAAAGCAGUGUCUCCUGUAUGGGCCGGAGGAUUCUUUACCACUGAGCUACCAGGGAAGCCCAAUACUUUCGGUCACCCAUGAGUGGGUUCCCAACCACUGGACCACCAGAGAAGUCUCCAGCAAAACACUCUUAAAAAGGAUGCAGUCACUCCAUUUAUACCAAGUUCCUGGGAAGAGACUGACUGGCCCAGAUUGAGUGAGGGACUAACCCUGUCUACAGUCAUGCCGGAGGAGGCAGUCACACGGCACACAGUGGCCAUCAGAGCCCUCUGGAGACAGAGAAAGCAUUCUCAGGAAAGCAGAGCUCACCAGACCAUGAAAUAGGCUCUCUGUAGCAUGGAGGGUCUGACCCACCUCAAGGGCUAUAGGGAGGCUAAUAU